ensembl:misc_RNA 7SK 7SK RNA
GGAUGUGAGGGCGAUCUGGCUGCGACAUCCAUCACCCCAUUGAUCUCCAGGGUUGUUUCAGCUGAUCUGGCUGGCUAGGCAGGUAUCCCCUUCCUCCCUCACCACUCCAUGUGCGUCCCUCCCGAAGCUGCGCACUCGGUCGAAGAGGACGACCAUCCCCGACAGAGGACGGGUCUUCGGUCAAGGGUAUACGAGUAGCUGCGCUCCCUUGCUAGAACCUCCAAACAAGCUCUCAGUCAAUACAUUUGUGUACAUAUACAUAAUACCCACAUUUGUGAGUAUAUAAGCUAAAUCUAGCUUCCACAUAUAAAGGAAAACAUGGAUCUUUUGUCUCUCUGGGACUGACUUAAUUC